GUCCACACACACAAUCAUAGCAUGUAGUAAGUUAGUUUGACAUCACAUGUGAUGCACAUUUUCUAUUUCUUACAACUUGUGCCUUUCAUAUGAUUACUAUGAUUCCUUGGAUUAGUCAUUAUAAAGUAUUAAAAACUGCAAUCAGUUAUAUUGUGAACACGAGAGCACAUCUAUCAGUGAGGUUUCAGUGAUCAUUAAACCAACUUACACCUGUUCACUGCUGCAGUGUUUGCAUAGAGAGUGUGUUUUACAUGAGCGACACACACUUCAGUGCUCUGCAUGUGUUUAUAACUCUGACAAACAUCAAACAUGAUCAACAACUGUUUCUCACUAGAACUGAACCUACAACCAACAAAAAUGACUUUCAUCACCAUAUUGAUCUGGACUCUGACUGUUUUAUGUAGAGAAUCUAUUGGGCAGGUGACAGUGACUCAAACUCCCUCAGUGCUGCUCGCUCAAACUGGACAAUCAGUCACUGUGACCUGUAAAUCCAGCAGUGAUCCUACCUGCUGUUGUAGUGGAAAGCAGUGUCUCAGCUGGUACUUACAGAAACCUGGAGAAGCUCCUAAACUCCUGAUUUAUGGAACAAGCAGCCUCCAGUCAGGAACUCCAUCUAGAUUCAGUGGCAGUGGAUCUAACAGUGAUUUCACUCUGACCAUCAGUGGAGUCCAGACUGAAGAUGCUGGACAUUAUUACUGUCAGAGUGCUCACUAUAUCAGUAGUAGUUAUGUGUUCACACAGUGA